ACCUCUCAUUAUUAACCCCAGUCUUUCCUUGAUUUACUUUGUAAGAGUCGAAUAAAUCAUUAUCAGUUGGCCUGUUCACUUGUGCAUCUGCCUUCACCAGGGGCAGCUAAGUCCCGUAAAGGUAGAUGUUCCCUUUAUCUUGUUCUCCACUCUUUUCCUGAAUCCUAGGACACAGCAACUCUCAAUACAUACUGUUAAUAGAUGGAGGAAGGACACAUAACUUACACACUGGCUGAUUAUGACUAUAAAAUUAAAGAAAGAAUUAAUAGUACUUGGACCACUAAUUUUUUAAAAAUGUUUUUAGGUAGUGAUAAGAAGCGUUCUGAGUAGAUUGUUCAAAAAAAAAAAAAAAAAAAGUAGCCUUGGCUGCUCUGGAGCGUGUUCUGAAGCUGAAGUCAGUGUUGGUCUUGCCAUGUUUCUUGCCUUAGCUUCCCGCAGGCAUCCCUAGUCCCUGUAAGUUUUCUUUUCAGUGGUGAGGAUCAAAUCCAGGUCCCAGUGAGUUAUGGGUAAGCCCUCUACCUAUGAGAUACAGCCAUAGAAAGAAAUAUUUUUAGCGUUGACAAUUUAACACAAAAGUUGGUUUCAGUCCUCUGUAAUAAUAUGCUCUCUAAGAAAUACCCCUGAAUUGGGAGUCUGAAUGUGAACUCUGGCCCAGAUCCGACUUGUUAAGUUAUACUUCUAGAGAACAUUUGUUAUUUUUAUGUCUGAGUGUCAUUUCCCCUUUAUACUAGGGAAUACAGGUUUUUCUGGGGAGUACUUCCUCCCCAGUACUCAGGCUUUGGACAGCACGUUUUAUCUCUGACUCCAAGGAUGAGCAUGUAAGUAUGCCUUGCUAAUAAGAGCACUGUACUCUCAUCCACAGAGAUAGGUUUAGGUAUGCGCUUCCAGUCUUAGUUUGAAUUUGUCAUUCUGACUUUUGAUUUUUAGAGCAUAGAUUUAUCUUUUUUUGCAAUGGACUUUAAUUUUGGAGGAUGGGUCAACAAGUGAAACCAAAACAAACAUGAUAAGAAAGUAGGUCUUUUGAAUUCCUAAAAAGUUAUUUAUCCCAAACCUAUACUUUUAAAAUAUGUGUAUUAAUGAAUUUUUCAUUCUUUGUUUAUACUGGCAUGUAUAAUAAGCUUUAGUGAGUUUCUACUUCCUUGUCUUUAAAAUAAGUACACUAGGUUCAAAAGCAGUAGAUUUACCUUUUUGUUAAUAUAUGUUUAAAACAAUGAGUUGGUUUUUGUUUGUUGGUUUUUUGUAGUCUAAGUGUUCUUGGUCUCAUUGUCCUUAUAGGUUACAGGGGUCAGAGUUCAGGACCUCUCCUGGCAUUCAUUCCAGGAAUCUGAAACCUGAACUUGCAGCCCAUGAUCAUUCCUCUGUCUUACCGCCAGGGGGCUGUGCAAGAGCUGCAUCAUGAAAAUGAUGUUCGUUGCAUUGCAUUUAAUUUAGUGUUUUUAUUUUUAAGUGUCAGCAGCUGUUUAAUGCCUGAGAUGUAAUUAUAAUUUAUAAUAAACGAUAAGUUUAGAGAGUUUUCUGAUGCAAUAAAAAGGAGUGGCUAAAGUAAGACAUUUGAAUUCAUUGAUCUUUGCUGCAAGUAGAAGUUUGGUUUCUAAAACAAAACAAAAAAAAUCAGGUUUUUAUGCAUAAAAUAAACGACUCGAUUGCUUCAAUAUUAAUAAUUAUUUCCUUCCUUGGGGGGGAUUCUGUUGUUUAGGGAGACCACCACUGGGAUAACCAUCACUGAUAAGAAACUUUCACAUAGUGUUUUACAUUUCCCACAAUCCUAGGACUGUGUCAGACCUCGGGCACAGUUAUUCACUUGUCUCGGGCUUGCAUUGUCCUCUGCGUGUUUGCUUGUCCUCUGCCCCAUCCCUACCACACUGUGGUCUCCUAGGACAGCAGUGAUAAGGACCUGGUUUGUGGGCCCCAUGGAGCUGGAUUUUGCCGUACGAACAGGUAUCAAGCUCCAUGCCUGGAAGCACAGGGGUGGACUGUGGAGAAGUGAAGGGGGGAAAGAAGCCAAAAUCAGUUAUUUUUAGGGGAAAAGAGCUUCAAUUUACACCAUAUUCUGGUGAGGAAAAGUCUUGGGGUGUGGAGAGGCAGAACAGACAUGGGCUUUAAUUAGUUCCUUCCCCCUUUACCAGGCAAUCAUUUGUUCUCAGAGCAUUUUAUACUUUACUUUACAGUUGUAAAUUACAACUGCAAUUAACUAGUUAUUUCUUUAGUGGUUAUUCUGUGCUGUAAGUUUCUACUGGAAUACAAUCAAUAAGAAUAAUAUAUUUUUGAAAUCUGGGAAGCUGACUCAGUUAGUAAAGUGCUUGUUUUCCAAGAACAAGAGCCUGAGUUUAACUCCCAGAACCUAUGUU
rnacentral:lncRNA from 1 species